AUAUAGUUCAUAAAGAAUAUUUAUAUAUUAUAUUAUAUGUUAACAAUAUCUUUUUGAAAACUCUGUGCCAUUUGUACAUUAAAUACAAUUUACACAUACAGUUCUUGACAUGAUAAAGUCAUCUCGUGCGAUAAUAUUAUCAUAAAGAUAAAAGAAGAUAAGGUAUGAGUGCCAAUGAGACAACUCUCCAUCGAUCCAAGUCACAAUUUGUAAAAAAAACAAAUGUUGAGCCUGCUAACCGUCUGAAAUAAUUAUAUGUACAUCAGGAAAAAAUGAAGGAAUUAGAAAUUUACAGAGCAUCAAAAUAAUUUACAAACUUCGUUACUGGACGUGUAGCCAAUGAUAUGUUUGCAAAAAAGUAUGACAAUACAUCAACCUGAACAAUCUAUGCAUUCAAUUAUCAAGAAAAUUUCAAUUCAUGAAAUCAACAACUUAUUUAGUCGCGUAUGAAUGAAAAACAC
rnacentral:lncRNA from 1 species